GACGUAGGAUGCGAGCGUUUGUCCGGAUUUAUUGGGCGUAAAGAGUUCGUAGGUGGUUUUAUAAGUCUGGUGUCAAAGGCUGGGGCUCAACCCUGGAUGUGCACUGGAUACUGUAAGACUGGAGUGCAGUAGAGGCAAGCGGAAUUCCCAGUGUAGCGGUGAAAUGCGUAGAUAUUGGGAAGAACACCGGUGGCGCAAGCGGCUUGCUGGGCUGUAACUGACACUGAGGAACGAAAGCUAGGGGAGCGAAUGGG
rnacentral:rRNA from 1 species